GAGAAACGGCUACUACAUCCAAGGAAGGCAGCAGGCGCGCAAAUUACCCAAUCCCGAUUCGGGGAGGUAGUGACAAUAAAUACUGAUACAGGGCUCUUUCGGGUCUUGUAAUUGGAAUGAGUACAAUUUAAAUCCCUUAACGAGGAACAAUUGGAGGGCAAGUCUGGUGCCAGCAGCCGCGGUAAUUCCAGCUCCAAUAGCGUAUAUUAAAGUUGUUGCAGUUAAAAAGCUCGUAGUUGAACCUUGGGCCUGGCUGGCCGGUCCGCCUCACCGCGUGCACUGGUUCGGCCGGGCCUUUCCCUCUGGGGAUCCCCAUGCCCUUCACUGGGUGUGGCGGGGAACCAGGACUUUUACUGUGAAAAAAUUAGAGUGUUCAAAGCAGGCCUAUGCUCGAAUACAUUAGCAUGGAAUAAUAGAAUAGGACGUGCGGUUCUAUUUUGUUGGUUUCUAGGACCGCCGUAAUGAUUAAUAGGGACAGUCGGGGGCAUCAGUAUUCAAUUGUCAGAGGUGAAAUUCUUGGAUUUAUUGAAGACUAACUACUGCGAAAGCAUUUGCCAAGGAUGUUUUCAUUAAUCAGGAACGAAAGUUAGGGGAUCGAAGACGAUCAGAUACCGUCGUAGUCUUAACCAUAAACUAUGCCGACUAGGGAUCGGACGAUGUUAUUUUUUGACUCGUUCGGCACCUUACGAG
rnacentral:rRNA from 1 species